rnacentral:tRNA from 1 species
GGUCGGUUAGCUCAGUCAGUAGAGCGUCGUGCUGAUAACGCGAAGGUCGUGGGUUCGAGCCCCACAUUGACUU